UAAUGAUGAUCAGCGAGAAAAGUAAUUUA
rnacentral:piRNA from 1 species